rnacentral:rRNA from 1 species
GGAGGUAGUGACAAUAAAUCACAAUGCGGGACUAUUCGUCUUGCAAUUGGAUUGAGAACAAUGUACAACUCUUAUCGAUAAGCCAUUGGAGGGCAAGUCUGGUGCCAGCAGCCGCGGUAAUUCCAGCUCCAAUAGCGUAUAUUAACGUUGUUGCAGUUAAAAAGCUCGUAGUUGAAGUGUGGGUGGUGCCUACUUCAUGACUUCGGUUGUGAGGCAGAUCACUACCCCCUUCCAGUAUCCAGUAGUGGGUAUUCAGUUACUUGCUACUGUGUGUUGGUCAUUUACUGUGAGAAAAUUAGAGUGUUCAAAGCAGGCGUUUGCUUGAAUAGAUUAGCAUGGAAUAAUAAUUGAAGGCUUUCGUGUUCGAUUUGAUUGGUUUGUUCAUGGAAGCAAGGUUAAAAGGAACAGUUGGGGGUAUUCAUAUUCACUAGUUAGAGGUGAAAUUCUCGGAUUUAUGGAAGAUGAACAAGUGCGAAAGCA